rnacentral:rRNA from 1 species
UGAGGAAUAUUGGUCAAUGGUCGGGAGACUGAACCAGCCAAGCCGCGUGAGGGAGGAAGGUACAGAGUAUCGUAAACCUCUUUUGUCAGGGAACAAAAGGCGGGGACGUGUCCCCGGAUGAGUGUACCUGAAGAAAAAGCAUCGGCUAACUCCGUGCC